AGAGUUUGAUCAUGGCUCAGAACGAACGCUGGCGGCGUGCCUAACACAUGCAAGUCGCGCGCGAAAGUCUUCGGAUGAGUAGAGCGGCGCACGGGUGAGUAACACGUGGGUAAUCUGCCCUUAGGUCUGGAAUAACUCGACGAAAGUCGAGCUAAUACCGGAUGGUGCUAAGUGAAGAGAUUCAUUUAAACAAAGCGGAGGCAUCCUUCGGGAUCUUCGUGCCUUUGGAUGAGCCCGCGGCCCAUCAGCUAGUUGGCGGGGUAAUGGCCCACCAAGGCUAAGACGGGUAGCUGGUCUGAGAGGAUGAUCAGCCACACUGGAACUGAGACACGGUCCAGACUCCUACGGGAGGCAGCAGUGGGGAAUCUUGCGCAAUGGGCGAAAGCCUGACGCAGCAACGCCGCGUGUGUGAUGAAGGUCUUCGGAUCGUAAAGCACUGUCGGCAGGAACGAAGGUUAGUCACUCUAAUAAAGUGAUUGAUUGACGGUACCUGCAAAGGAAGCACCGGCUAACUCUGUGCCAGCCGCCGCGGUAAUUC
rnacentral:rRNA from 1 species